rnacentral:lncRNA from 1 species
GGAAGAAGAUUUUUCACCUAGUGGAGUCAUUGAACAGUGGUCUUCAAAUUGGGAUUAUUUCCAAGAAUUUUCUUCCUUCCAAAUAACCAAGGACCUCUUGUCUUAUUUGACUCCUCGGGACCUACUGCUUUCCACACUAAAACCAGUGCAGUUAGUUAACAUGCUGAUCUGAUCACCUAACAUGAUGAACUAGUGCCAAAUGUGGAUAUAACUGGAGGAGCUCGAGGUUUAAAAGGUAAGUAACAUUCCAGAAGAUACAUAGCUUAUAACUAGUGACAACUAGAGGAGGAAGGAGUCAGUUGCAGGCCUGU